GACGAACGCUGGCGGCGUGCUUAACACAUGCAAGUCGAACGGAGUGGCGAACGGGUGAGUAACACGUUGGUUACCUGCCCUGCACUUCGGGAUACGCCUGGGAAACUGGGUCUAAUACCGGAUAGUGUGGGAUGGGCCCGCGGCCUAUCAGCUGGUUGGUGGGGUAAUGGCCUACCAAGGCGGCGACGGGUAGCCGGCCGGAGAGGGUGGACGGCCACAUGGGGACUGAGAAACGGACCAGAAUCCUACGGGAGGCAGCAGUGGGGAAUAUGGCAGAAUGGGCGGAAGCCUGAUGCAGCGACUCCGGGUGGGGGAUGACGGCCUUCGGGUUGUAAACUCCUUUGACAGUAGACGCGGUAGAUGGAGAAGAAGCACCGGCUAACUACGUGCCAGCAGCCGCGGUAAUAC
rnacentral:rRNA from 1 species